rnacentral:rRNA from 1 species
CCUUUGGGUUGUACAGCUCUUUUGUAGGGGAAGAUAAUGAUGUAGCCCUACUGAAUAAGGUCCGGCUAACUCCGUGCCAGCAGCCGCGGUAAUACGAACGGGACCUAGCGUAGUUCGGAAUUACUGGGCGUAAAGCGCGCGUAGGCCGUUGAGUUAGUUAAUUGUGAAAUCCCAAAGCUUAACUUUGGAACUGCAAUUAAAACUGCUCGACUACAGUUUGAUAGAGGAAAGCGGAAUACAUAGUGUAGAGGUGAAAUUCGUAGAUAUUAUGUAGAACACCAGUUGCGAAGGCGGCUUUCUGGGUCAACACUGACGCUGAGGCGCGAAAGUAUGGGUAGCAGAGGAUUAGAUACCCUCGUAGUCCAUACCAUAAACGAUGAUUGCUAGAUGUUGGAAAUUUAUUUUCAGUAUCGCAGCUAACGCAUUAAGCAAUCCGCCUGGGGAGUACGAGCGCUAAGGUUAAAACUCACAUGAAUUGACGGGGACCCGGACAAGCGGUGGCAGCAUGUGGUUUAAUUCGAAGAUACGCGCAGAACCUUACCAACCCUUGACAUGUCUGUCGCGAGUUU